GGCGGCCCAGGAAGGGCCGAGCACGCGCCAGAGAGCGGACGGGCGGACGCUAUGGAACAGAGGUUAGCCGAGUUCCGGGAGGCCCGCAAACGGGCCGGGCUGGUGAGCCAACCCUCCACGGCGAGGCAGUGCGAGCUGACCUCAGCAGCGAAGGCGGAGCCAGCGGCGGCGACCCCAAAGACAGCCAUGGGCUGGCUGCGACGCUUCCUGAAGCGGAAAGCAAGCCCUGCCAUUAUGCGGGCCCGGCCCAACCAGGCUCAGGAAGAAGCUCAGCAGCCUCCACAGAGUGCAGCGGUCCCUCUGCCUUCAUCUCGACACCAGUCUCUCCUGACUAACAUCACCUUCUUGAAGGUUCUUCUCUGGUUGGUCCUGCUGGGUCUGUUUGUAGAACUGGAAUUUGGCCUGGCUUAUUUUGUCCUGUCUAUGUUUUAUUGGAUGUAUGUAGGGACUCGGGGUCCUGAGGAGAAGAAAGAGGGGGAGAAGAGUGCCUACUCUGUGUUCAACCCCGGGUGUGAAGCCAUCCAGGGCACCCUGACUGCCGAGCAGCUGGAGCGCGAGUUACAGCUCAGGCCCCCGCAGGGGAGAAGCCAAAGGAGGAUAUUGGGUCCCCCAGUUUUAGAAUUACACAGGCUGUUGUGAGCCACCCAAUGAGGAUGCUGAGGAGAGAACUUGGAUCCUCUGGAAGAGCAGCAAGCUCUCCUAACUACUGAGCCAUCUCUCCAGCUCCUGAAGGGCACCUGUGAGCCCCUGGACUCUGACCUGCAGGCUGGUGGGCCAUCAGAUUCUCUCUCCUCCCUCUCUCAGGCUAUCAUGGGAAUGGUACUCCAGGAACAGCAUUCGUCACGGCGCUGGCCCUUGCUGAGGGCUUCAGGCUGGGGAUCUUUUACCAAGGGUAAGUUUAUGCUGCCAGGACUAUGUAUCGAGCAUGGCAGUCUGUCCCUGUUGCCUUUGGUUGGUUUGCACCGUCAGAUUAGGCUACUGGGUCUGCUACAGAAAGGAAGUUACACAGUUAUGAGAAACAGCCAUCCUCAUCUGGGCAGAAGCAAACAGAAUGGGAACAUUGUGUUAGGUUCCUGACACUUCAGCAAAUAUUUGGAGGUUCGCUGGUUUUGGCACACAGAGAGCCCCCUGGAAACCGUUGGUGGGAAAGAACCGAAGAAUGAAUACAGGGGUGGGGUAGAAGCCCGAGGAUCAUGUUGCCACCAGGGGCAGUAGAGAGCUGCUGCAGCCUCACCUGCAUCCCUUCACCUCACACUCGAUUAUUUACAUUAAGAGGAAACCCUCUGGAAUGCUUCUUGGAACCACUUUUGCUGUUUUUGUUUUUGUUUUCCUUUUCCUUCAGGCAUUUUUUUUCAAGAUAGUAAAGACCUCUUCACAGGUCCCGGGAAGGCUCUGACAGCUCCCAGCAGUUAUUUAUUAUACACAUAUUUUAAGAUAAAACAGCAGCCCCUCUCUAGGGUUAGCAGGCAGCCUUGUAAAUUCCCUGUCCACUUUUGAGCUUCAAAGGAGCUGGGGCACAAUGUCUAGGAACUUACUUAGCUAACAGAAAACUUGGUCACCAAACUAGAGAGGGUAAGAUUUUGAACUCAGUGCUUUGGUUUCUGUUGCACUUUUAUUUUGAAACAUUGAGCAUUUGGGCCAAAGAUUUAGAUUGUUCUAAAAAAACCGAGUACACAGAGAACCAUGUCAUAGGGGCCAGGUAUGUUGGGAGA